ensembl:lncRNA
CUCCCGUUGCGGUACAGCCUGCGCCUCGAAGGGCGUUGAGGUGAGAUGUGACCUGGUCACAGAGAGGGUCGCGACGCGUCGGCGACUCUCCGUGAUUUCAGCUGAGUUGAACCCAAUGUUGUGCUGGUGACUUGAACCCAUGUCGUGGUAGUGGUGCUGGUGGUGGAUCCCCCCCCCCCUCUCUUUCUCUCCCUCCCUCCCUCCCUCUGUGUCCGUCGUCCAUGUGGUCGUCUUCCGAAACGCGGCUGUCGCCUCCACCUUUUGUCUGACCUCACGUUGUGACUGCUUUAGGAGUGUCCAGUCCUCCCCAUGUCCCCCUUUUGACUUCUGUCGUCCUGACUUGUCCUCGUCUUUCUGCAGUGGCUCUACGUCAAGAUCAUCAUCAUCAUCAUCAUCAUCCUUCCUAAAGAAAAAGUCACCCACUCCCUUAUUUCCUCUGCUCUCUGACUCUUCUUCUCCAGGAGAUGAAGAUCUGUUCUGCCAUCAUCAACCUUUUCCACCUGAUCCCAGCUGCACCCCAGACUCUGGUCAAGCCUCUGCUGGAGGUGGUCAUGAAGACCGAGAGGGCCAUGCUCAUAGAGGUAGGACACCAUCUCCACUCGCGUGUUUCUUGGGCUUACGCUUAAGGAUGUUCCAGCUUGAGUCAUUGACUUUUCAUAGGUUAAGUAGGCGAUGCUUGAUAGUUUUAAGAUAAAUAUUUGAAAACUCGAAUGGUACGUUUAUCGUGUGGAGAUCUCAGCUUCUUAGCACAGGUUUUAACAGCGCAGUGCAUUUGCUAUCAUGAAUACUUACCGUCUUUCCUCUUUUCCUCCGGUGCUCCACUCAUCCCUCCUGCGCCAGGCCGGCAGUCCUUUCAGGGAGCCUUUGAUCAAGUUCCUGACGCGCCACCCAUCUCAGACGGUGGAGCUGUUCAUGAUGGAGGCCACGCUGAACGACCCCCAGUGGAGUCGCAUGUUCAUGGUCAGACACCGGCAGCUCGAAGCUACUUUUAAGGCUUUUUAUUGAAACGUGUGCCAUUUAAAACGGCAUUUUGCCGCCGCAGUAAUUGGCUCUAAUCGGGUUAUGACGGCUGUUUCGAGGCUCAGUGGUCAUGUUGCGACCAAAUUGAGAUGGAGCACUCAAAGUCGAAAAAUAUGAAUUUCCUGCUGCUUUAAAUGUUUUAUACUUAGUGUGUGUGUGUGUGUGUGUGUGUGUAGUUUUCUGAAACACAAAGAUGCCAAGCCACUGAGAGACGUUCUGGCUUCUAACCCCAACCGCUUCGUCCCUCUGCUGGUUCCCGCUGGCACGGCGGCGACCGUUCGCCCCGGCUCUCCCUCCACCACCACGGCCAGGCUGGACCUGCAGUUUCAGGCUAUCAAGGUAUACGAAGCAUUUCCCUCCCAAUGUAUGCAUACUCCUAAUUAUCAAUAUGGAGAUACACAACCGUUAUUUUAUUAUCUUGAUAUUUCUGCACAACCCGAAUCUUAAUAUUACAAAGCUCUCAGUAAUUCCACUGCGUGACCUCCGGCCGGUUCCGUCGUUCGUCCUUUUUCUGCUCAGAUCAUCAGCAUCAUAGUGAAGAAUGAUGAGGGCUGGCUGGCAGGGCAGCACUCGCUGGUCAGUCAGCUGAGGCGAGUCUGGGUCAGUGAAGCCUUCCAGGAGAGACAUCGCAAAGACAACAUGGCCGCCACCAACUGGAAGGAGCCCAAGCUGCUGGCCUUCUGCCUGCUCAGCUACUGCAAGUAUGGACUAUUCAAACUUCUAAUGGGGACGGAAAUUCACUAAACAUUGGUCACAUCUUCUGCAGGCUGAAUUUAUUACCCCUCUUGUCUCUUCAAUAGGCGGAACUACUCAGAGAUUGAACUGCUGUUUCAGCUGCUACGGGCCUUCACAGGUCGCUUCUUAUGCAACAUGACCUUUCUGAAGGAGUAUAUGGAGGAGGAGAUUCCCAAGAACUACUCCAUUGCCCAAAAGCGAGCCUUGUUCUUCCGCUUCGUUGAGUUCAAUGACCCCCACUUCAAUGAUGAGCUUAAAGCUAAGGUACGUACAGAGAAGCAAAGUCAAUGUGUGGAAUUAUAAAUCCACCCGGGUUGAUGAUGUUUAGUUAACACUAAAACCAGCUGACCGGUCCUCUAUUUGAAAUGAAUUGAUGGAUGCAUUUCAAUGUGUUUUGGCACAAUGUGAACAUUUUUACUUUUACCCAUAAUAUCGGAAAAUGAAUUUAUUGAAAUAAACGAUUGAUUUGUAGCCACGUUUCUGGACAUCAUACAUGAUGUUUCUAAAUUCUUUAAGCAUCUCCUCAGCUUCCCUCCUUUGCUUCCCCAGCGUGGGACCUGAUCCGUGUGACCUUUCUGGUCGCGCGUUUCCAACCAGAAGGUUAUUGUCUGGCCCGAGACCCUCAGAGGCUCACAGAUGAACGCUUUCGUCCUCUCUACCUGUCCUGCUGCUGAAGCCAUUACAGUCAUUUGGACUGAUUUUUAAUUAACAUCAGUCUCCCCCAAUUAACAUCAGUCUCCCCCAGUGCACACACACACACACACACACACACGCGCAGACACAUUUAGGGCACACAAUCUGGCCGCAGAAGCCGUCAGCGCUGCUGUUGAGUGCAAACGGGUCAGUGGGAAAGGCCCGACCCGGCCGCCCCGCUGUCGCACGUAGCCAGAUGACCGUGUGACAAGAAACGCACAAUUGGCAAGUGCAAUAAACCCACACUCCCCAUUCCAAGGACAUACACUUGUGUUGAUGAUGCUGGUCACACCAACCCGCCCUUUUAUUGUUUUUUUUUCAUGGGCACUAUGCACUGCCUCAGCGUCAAAUGGACUUGUGGGGAAAAGAUGAAAUGGAGGCAGGAGAAGACACCUCGUUGUGUCUUUCCAGGCCUGCAUUUUAACACCCAGCCGAACAAAAAGAUUAGCCCCUCGGAUACCUCAACCCCCCCCGUCGUGUUUCUGCUCAUAUUGUUCUCCGGCACCUUAAUUGUCCUCCUCACAUGCGCAGCAGCUGUUAGCUGCAUGCGGGACGGAGCGACACGCAGAGAAGAUCGCCUGUGUUUAUGUGUUCAUGUGUGCGACUGCUUUGGUGCGGCAGGGUGACAUUUAAAUAAUUGCCGUUAGCAUUUUCCCAGAAGCUUAAUAUCACAAGGAAGUGUGUGUGUGCGUGUGUGUGUGUGCGUGUGUGUGUGUGUGCCGCGCAUGCACGUUGUCAGUGCGCCUGGGAGGUAGACGGGGGCUCAGGUCCGCGCACCGCGGGAGGCUCUCGCGGUGUUUCGCACAGAGAAAGGAGCGGGACGGCAGCAGCGCAUCGUCCACGACGCCUCGGACCGAUCUCGUGCUGCUCGCGCUUUGUUUCUUUUGUUAAACCCAAACAAAAGUGUUCAAGCAGACAAACAAAGUGUGCAAAAUUCAUGAAGCUCCGCGUGUUUGCGUCACGUUCCGUUUCUUUUAAUGACAUUUUUCUAACAUUAUUUAGUAGGAAGUAACAGUGUAAUCAUAAACAAAUCUGACUGUGUACAGCAUGCGUGAAUUAUGUUCUAAGCUGGAACAUAUGCUGCCACAGCUCCCUCUCCACUGAGCGGUGCCCUGUCCCUCCCCAGGAGGGAUUGGACAGGGGGGGGGUUCAUUCACAGAUACCAGCUUCUUUUAAUAAACGCAGUCGUUAUCUUCGUUGUGGUUGGGUUAUUCUGCUGUUCACCAGCUGAUCGAGCCUUCGUCUUCAUCCGCGGAUCCCUACGUACACUCAUUACAUUACAACACACUCCCUGCAGGUUUCGUGUUUGUAAAUCGUAUUUUCAUCAGUCAUUAAGAUUGUAUUUGUUUUUUUUCUCCAUUAAGAGAACGAGUUAGGAGAGAACGAGUGGUUUUGUUCUCCAGUAGUUUCAAACUUUUUAUUUUUAUGUUUUUAUUUUAUUCUGUUUUGCAGAUUUUGAAAGAACACAAUGAUUUUCUCCUUUUUUGGAAGGUGUGCUAUCAUUGAUGAUAUAUGGUCUUAAUGGCGAUCAUCUCUCAUUAAAUUCAAAUCAGCGUGUGUUUUUUCCCUUUUCCGUCUCUUAGGUGUUGCAGCACAUCCUCAAUCUAGCGUUCCUGCACAGCUUCGAGAAGGGGGAAGGUGAGCAGCUGCUCGGACCCCCCAACCCCGAAGGGGACAAUCCUGAAAGCAUUACCAGUGUGUUCAUCACAAAGGUACACACGCACACGCUCGCAGCGGUUCUUCUUCUCCUUUGUUUCCUCCGUCAGUCUCCCUGAUUUCAUUACCUGCUGCAUUUCCUCUCAUAAUGUCUUAUCAGUCCAGCGCGUCUCGGCCGUCAUCCAUUGUUUGCUACUCAGUCGGGUUCGUCCUCUCCUGCAGUCUGCACACAUUCACGCCGUCAUUCCCUCUUUCUCCUCUCCCUUUUAUCCGUCUCUUCCAUCCGUCUUUGUGUUCCUCCCUCUUCCCGUCACAUUCAUUCAUGGGGCCGACUCUGAUUCCUGGUGUAAAUGCCACGAUGUGCUCAUAUUAAAGGUCACCGUGUCUGUGCUGUGGCAGAUCUCAUCACUGACUAACAGCAGUCCUAAUGGCCGCUAAUGACUCUUCAUCGGUCUAGUUAAAACUAAUCCUACUAAUCCCCCCCCACCCCCAGCAGGUGUUCUCUGCUCGCUCCCCCUCUACAGGGAAAUCAGUUCGACUUCCAAGAGGUUUUUGAUAUUUGAAAACGCCUAUUUGACUUCUUUGAAAUGUAAUUUUGCAAAGGGAAUAUUACAGCGGUAUCGUCAAUUCAAGCAAACAAUUUAUUAAAUACAAUGUAUAUCCGUUUCUUGUUUAUGUAAAUAAAGUGCAUCAGGUAAUACUUGUAUUGACCUCUGUUGGCUCCUGGUGAGAAACAUGGGCUUUCAUAUAAUACAGAAAAUUACUUAUUGAUUAGUUGCUUAGUGUACCGUGGUAACCCCUCACUCAGCAAUCUCCCCCAACCCGCUCAGGUCCUGGACCCGGAGAAGCAGGCCGACCUGCUGGACUCUCUGCGGAUCUGCCUGCUGCAGUUCUCCACCCUGCUGGUGGAGCACGCGCCCCACCACAUCCACGACAACAACAAGUCCCGCAACAGCAAACUGCGGCGCCUCAUGACCUUCGCCUGGCCGUGCCUCCUGCCCAAAGCCUGCGUGGACCCUGCCUGCAAAUACAGUGGACACUUACUUCUGGCCCACAUCAUUGCAAAGUUUGCCAUCCACAAGAAGAUUGUGCUGCAGGUGAGAAGGCCCAGUGGAGCGGGGGAUCCAGCUUGACACAGAGCUUCAAGAGAGUAAAGAUAGUAAACGUGUGUAGCGGGCGUAAAAUCCCAGAGUGAGCUUGUAAAAUACCAAAAAAACAUCAUGUUUCAAUUGAAAUCCUCUGAUGUUUACAAAAAAGGAAAAUCAGAAACUUCUAGUGAGUUGGGUUCGUUUGCGCAUUUGUCUCAUGUUCCACCCACUUUAUAAUAUGAACGUAUAGGAACAACCUUUCCUG